AGCCGCGUGGUGUAAUGGCAUCACACUCCUGCGGAAAUGGAGAGAUUUAUAGGUUCAAAUCCUAUCGUGGCUC
rnacentral:tRNA from 1 species